UACAUGUGGGGCAAGCGUUGUUCGGAAUCACUGGGCGUAAAGCGCACGUAGGCGGAUGUGUCAGUCAGGGGUGAAAUCCCGGAGCUCAACUUCGGAACUGCCCUUGAUACAGCACGUCUUGAGUCCGGAAGAGGUGGGUGGAAUUCCUAGUGUAGAGGUGAAAUUCGUAGAUAUUAGGAAGAACACCGGUGGCGAAGGCGGCCCACUGGUCCGGUACUGACGCUGAGGUGCGAAAGCGUGGGGAGCAAACAGG
rnacentral:rRNA from 1 species